rnacentral:rRNA from 1 species
CGCGUAGGUGGUUUGGUAAGCGAUAUGUGAAAGCCCUGGGCUCAACCUAGGAACUGCAUGUCGAACUGUCAGGCUAGAGUAUGGUAGAGGGGUGUGGAAUUUCCUGUGUAGCGGUGAAAUGCGUAGAUAUAGGAAGGAACAUCAGUGGCGAAGGCGACACCCUGGACCGAUACUGACACUGAGGCGCGAAAGCGUGGUAGCGAACA